UUGAUCAGUUCUCAGCGCCGCUGUGGCAGCCCUGGAAGGCCAGCCCAGCUGCCUAACCGCGUACGCCUUUCGGAAGAAGCUUCGUUUUUCAAGGUCUGUAAGAUAAACGCGAGGUUCCCGCGGCCCCCCCGGCCCUGCGGCCCUCCCCGGCAGCGCCCGCCGAGCCGCGCCCGCCCGCAGGAACCGGGCCGCCCGCGAAGCGCAGGGCCCGCCCGGCCGCGGAGCGAGGCAAAGCGCCCCCGCGCCGCCCCGGCCCCGGCCCCGGCCCCGGCCCCGGCUCCGGCCCCGGCUCCGGCCCCGGCCCCAGAGCCGCCUCCAGCCACGCCGCCGGCUCCGUCCCCGAGGCGGCCCCGCGGCCCAGCCCCCCACGGCAGCGCUCCCGGCUGGCCCGAGCCGCCGCCUGCCGCAGACCCUCGGCUGCGGGCGGGCAGCGGGGCCGCGGAGCGGGGGGCCUCCGCCGCACUCACUCUGCCACACCAGGCGCUUCAGCCCCCGCUCCGCCGCCGCCGCAGCCCCCGUCGGCGCCAUCUUGCCGCGCGCCCCGCCUCGCUUCGCUUCGCCUCGCCCCGCCGCUGCGCAGCUCCCCGCUGCCUCGCCCCGCCCCGCCCCGCCCUCUUCAGGGGCGCGGCCGGAGGGCAGCGGGCCGGGCGGCGGCAGCGGGCAGCAGCGGGCCGGGCGGGUGCCCUCGCCCCGCAGGCCCCACUAGCGGGUGUCGGGUGCUACAGCGAGCGUCACGGAGCACACUGUGCUCAUACGCGGUUAGGCAAAAAAGGGCUUGUAGGGCCUGGAAAUUCCAGUGUUGCAUUGCGGGGGACAACAGGCGCGUUAGAGACGCAGCAGGUGUUGAACCGCGAGGGCCCGCAGGGAUGCGGAGCCUCUCGCCCGGGCGAGGGCCGCGCUGCUGAGCGGUACGGAGCCGCCGCCCGCACGCACGCAGGCCGCCGAGGGCAGCCGGCAGGACGCGGCCGGUGUGAGGCGCUGCGGAAACCUCUACAGCCGCCUGCACAACACAAAACGUGA
rnacentral:lncRNA from 1 species